GACAGGGCAGCACAGCACAGUGCGGGAACCUGAAUUCGGUUGGUCGCCAACGUGAGAAGCUGAGUUCCCACAUGUGCUCUGCAGCUGGAGCCCCAAGCAUUGUUUUUGAAACAUUAAACAUUCCUUUUACUUCUCCAUCUUCUUUCUUGGCACGUGGCAUGUCAAUGCAUAGCUCUACUAUUCCCUCGAUAUGAUAUUUAACAGAUUCUGGGGUCUAUCGUAAUGAAUCAGCCGCAGUGUGAUACCGGUCCAGCAGCUUGAAUUGCUUCCAACUCAAACUUCUGUGGCCUCAGAAUAUGAUUAAUUGCUUUUCAUUGUUACUGUUGUUGGUUUAAACAGACCAUAAAACCUGACAUCUGAUCUCAUACAUCAGAUGCAUAUAAGCUAUGACUGCUGAUUGGAAAUGCCCUUCUACUGCACUUCCUUUCCCUUUGUAGUUGUAGCUGAAGAACAUGCAUUUCUUGAUGUUAUUGUUAACUUAUUGCUGAGCAUCUCUUAAGGCCAGAGCUUCAGGAAGUGCCUUCUGCUCUAGGUUCCUGAAUCAAGCCACGAAUCUCUACAGUACAGCGACGGUGGUGCCCAUUAACCAUAUUUUCUUCACAACCAGUGCCAUUAUUGCAGGCAUCGUAUUUUAUAGGGAAUUCCUUGGUGCAGCUUUUCUCGCCAUGUUUAUAUAUUUUUUUGGGUGUUUUCUGUCAUUCCUGGGUGUGUUGUUGGUCACAAGAAACCGAGAGAAGGAACAUCUGCCACAGUCUUACAUCGAUUUGGGGAAUAUUCCCGGGAAACAGACGUUGGAUAAAAUACAACCAGAUUCAAACGGUUUAUCCCGUGGAACUUUGCCUGAUGGAAGUGACUCAACAAAGAGCCGAAGUGGAGAGAAGAAAGAGGUCUGAAGUGCCGAGAGCGAUGGCUGUGGGCCUGUUACUCGAUCCCACCUUCUUAAAAAGCUGCACAUGUUCCAUUUGUGUCAGCAGCUAUUUAUCGCUGACAUGUGCUCGCGUGCGUUCCAGUUCUCUGCCCACCUCCAUCCCGUGGACACUCGGCCCCCCUGCGCUCUGACAGUCUAAUGUUCGCAUGGAAUGUAACUUGAAGUGCCCCCCGCCCCCGGGGCUCUCCCUAGCGAGCCUCUGACCGCCUGGACCUUGAUGAGAGCCUGGCUGCCCGAGCAGAACUGCCACGCAGAAACGGCCCGCGAUCUGGCCGCUGCUCCCAGCCUCCGGGAGUGCCGCUGCUUUGCUUUAAAGAGACACUUUCCCCCCGCAGCCUGACUCCUGGAACACAGGCCGCGGUUCUUUUGCGUGUGUACCACCACCUCUAUUGGAAAAGUCUCCCCAGCCCCACUCUCCAACUUGCUAACAGCGUCAGAAAUGACUGGUAGUUACCUGUCCUGUGGCAGAGUGAAGCAGAAGUCUUUCCCACCUGGUUGUUUUCCGUCUAAAUGUCUGCCCUGUACUGCUUUUGCUACCUUGAAUCUCUUGGAAAAACACACAAUAAAAAACUUCUCAGGCAAUGA